rnacentral:tRNA from 1 species
CAGGGAGACAAAAACUGAUUAUUGAUGUCUGAAUAUUAAUUUAGGCCGUAAUCCUGUCACCUUAGGUCGAUCGGUACCUCAGAUUAAAUUUUAAAAGUUCAUUUUUAAAAUUUAAUUUCAGUUCCUAAACUUGUCUAGGUCACACCCAACAAACUUUCUCCUGGGCUAUUAGCUCAGGCGGUUAGAGCGCACCCCUGAUAAGGGUGAGGUCCCUGGUUCAAGUCCAGGAUGGCCCAUUCGUUGUUGGGGGUAUAGCUCAGUUGGUAGAGCGCCUGCUUUGCAAGCAGGAUGUCAGCGGUUCGAGUCCGCUUACCUCCACUGAUCAACUACCUAAUAACUCAAUUGGAGAUUGUUAUUUGUUUGAUUUGACUUAGAUGUUGUUCAUCUGAAUGAACCUAGCUUCCUAUCAUUCCAAUUCUUAUAGGUUGAUAAGACGCUGGGCUCACUGAUAGAAAUAUCAGUUUGAUUCAGCAGAACCUUGACAACUGCAUAGGAAAGUCUGGAAAGAAAGCAUCUCAUAGAUGUAUAUAGAAAAAUCGUACUUAGAAAACUAAGUUUGAAAUUUCUAUAUCAAUUCUAAAGUUAGAGCAAAAUUUGUAUAGCUCAAUUAUCUUUUUAAUUAGUUUUCACUAGUUAUUAAGAUCAAGUUAAUAGAUUGAUUAAUUAAAU